AUUAUUUUGAAACAAGAUAAAAAUUACAAAAGUCAUUUCUGAGUUAAAAAUAUCAUGUGUGAUAAUCCUGGAGAUGUCACACUUUUUUCUGAAUAUAAUUCUGUAUAUAAACAAUCUGUAUUGCUUAUGUCCAUCUGUACAUUGUCUACCUGCACAGUUUAUCAAUAUCCAUAAUUGAGUUCACAUUUACUUUAUUUAUAUCUUUUUUUCCUUUAAUUCUUGUUGUUGCAAAUAAUAUAGUAACAUAAUGAAAUAUGGAUGGUAUAGUAUUAGGUUUUAAAUGUUUUACAUAUUCUCCUGGAUCCAAAUAACCAUUUUUAGUAAAAUGUAGACUACAAAUUCUACUAUUUUUUGAGGGUGUUCACUGUGAUUUAUUUAUUGCAUCCAUGCUGCCAAUUGUUGUUCAUCUUUAAACGGAAAACUGAAAACUGAAACCAUUAUACAAAAAAUGCAGUGUUUUUUAUUUAAAAUUUUAAAAUAAUAUAAAAGAUUAUCUAUCUAAAAUAUUGAAUAUUGUCCUUUUUACUAGUUCUGUUUCGAAUUUAUAUAUACAACAUGUCAUAGGUAUGAUGCAAACUUCCUAAAUAUUUUUCUCGAUACUUAUAUGAUGUAUUUUGAUAUCUAUAUCUCUCAAUAAUACAUGUAUACAUUAAAAAUUGAACAUCCAAUAGAAUUUGUCCCCACAAAAUAUGACUACACUAGUAUGGGAAUUCAACAAUGGAAUACAGACUCGCGCAAAUUCAUGCGCGCAUGUUUAAUUUCAUUUGAGAUUUCUAAUAACAUGACUUGCGCGAGUGAAUCUACGCAUUCUAUUUCAAAAAUCAUUUUUCACUAUGACAGAUCACAUAGAUGUUUAGUUUCCCGCACAUUUUACAGUUUCAGGAUCACAGGAUCAAAUAUUUUUAAAUAUUUUUAAAAAAAUUAAUAAAUUUGUAUACAAUUAUUUAUUACAUAUCAAUUUUUGCCACCAUAAACCAAUAUGGCUACAGCGAAUAAAAGAAUAAAAUCUUACAGUUUAAUCUUAAUAAUUUAUUUUAGCACUAUUUUAUUUUUGUUUCCUUUUUUUUUCAGAUGCUUAUUAUUGAUUAUGAUUAUUUCCUCAUUCAACAAAAUACCCUGGAUAUCAACAAUAUAAAGCUUCCAAAAUAGGAAAGUCAACAGAACUUACUGACCAAUUGCUCCGUAUCCACAGCGCUUUCGAUUAUCAUGAACUUAAAUUUAAAGAAAAUAAAGGAAAAAAAGGAUUUGGAAAAGGAUAACUCUAGCAACCCUCUGGCAACAAAGCACAUCUCUGGAUAUAAAUAUGAGAGCAUGAAUCAUGUGAUAAGGCAGUAUAAUAAGUAUGAUGAAGAGGAAAAAAA